rnacentral:rRNA from 1 species
CGGCGGACGGGUGAGUAAUGCCUAGGAAUCUGCCUGGUAGUGGGGGACAACGUUUCGAAAGGAACGCUAAUACCGCAUACGUCCUACGGGAGAAAGCAGGGGACCUUCGGGCCUUGCGCUAUCAGAUGAGCCUAGGUCGGAUUAGCUAGUUGGUGGGGUAAUGGCUCACCAAGGCGACGAUCCGUAACUGGUCUGAGAGGAUGAUCAGUCACACUGGAACUGAGACACGGUCCAGACUCCUACGGGAGGCAGCAGGU